GAUGAACGCUGGCGGCGUGCCUAAUACAUGCAAGUCGAGCGAACAGACGAGAGUGCUUGCACUCUCUGACGUUAGCGGCGGACGGGUGAGUAACACGUGGGUAACCUACCUAUAAGACUGGGAUAACUUCGGGAAACCGGAGCUAAUACCGGAUAAUAUUUAGCUUCGCAUGAAGCAAUAGUGAAAGACGGUUCUGCUGUCACUUAUAGAUGGACCCGCGGUGUAUUAGCUAGUUGGUGAGGUAACGGCUCACCAAGGCAACGAUACAUAGCCGACCUGAGGGGGGGACCGGCCAACAGGGGACUGAAAAACGCCCCAAAACCCCAAGGGAGGCAGAAGUAGGGAAUUUUCCGAAAGGGAAGAAAGGUGGAGGGGGAAAGGCCGGGGGAGGGAAGAAGGUUUCCGGAUCGAAAAAAUUUGUUUAAAGGGAAAAAAAAGUACGUUAGUAAAGGAACGUACCUUGACGGUCCCUUACCAAAAAGCCAAGGAUAAAUACGG
rnacentral:rRNA from 1 species